CACGUAGGGGCGAGCGUUGUCCGGAUUUAUUGGGCGUAAAGAGCUCGUAGGCGGCUCAGUAAGUCAGGUGUGAAACUCCAGGCUCAACCUGGAGACGCCACCUGAUACUGCUGUGGCUAGAGUCCGGUAGGGAGCAUGGAAUUCCUGGUGAUAGCGGUGAAUGCGCAGAUAUCAGGAGGAACACCAGUGGCGGAAGGCGGU
rnacentral:rRNA from 1 species